rnacentral:rRNA from 1 species
GACGAACGCUGGCGGCGUGCUUAACACAUGCAAGUCGAACGAAGUGGCGAACGGGUGAGUAACGCGUAAUCAACCUGCCCUUCAGAGGGUGACAACAGCUGGAAACGACUGCUAAUACCGCAUACUGAAGGAGGGGAUUGCGUCUGAUUAGCUAGUUGGAGGGGUAACGUCCCACCAAGGCGAGGCUCAGUAGCCGGUCUGAGAGGAGGAUAGGACACGUUGGGACUGAGAGACGGCCCAGACUAUUACGGGAGGCAGCAGUGGGGAAUCUUCAGCAAUGGAAGAAAGGCUGACGGAGCAACGACGCGUGAGUGAUGACGGCCUUCGGGUUGUAAGGCUCUGUAAGUCGGGACGCGGUACCGGAAUAGAAAGCCACGGCUAACUACGUGCCAGCAGCCGCGGUAAUUC